UACGGGGGGGGCAAGCGUUGUUCGGAAUUACUGGGCGUAAAGGGCUCGUAGGUGGCCAACUAAGUCAGACGUGAAAUCCCUCAGCUUAACUGGGGAACUGCGUCUGAGACUGGCGAGCUUGAGUGCAGGAGAGGAACGCGGAAUUCCAGGUGUAGCGGUGAAAUGCGUAGAUAUCAGGAGGAACACCAGUGGCGAAGGCGGCUUUCUGGACGGUAACUGACGCUGAGACGCGAAAGCGUGGGGAGCAAACAGG
rnacentral:rRNA from 1 species